rnacentral:rRNA from 1 species
CCCUUAGAUGUCCGGGGCCGCACGCGCGCUACACUGAAGGAAUCAGCGUGGCUUUCUCCCUGACCCGAAAGGGUUGGGAAACCCGUUGAAUCUCCUUCGUGAUGGGGAUUGGGGCUUGAAAUUGUUCCCCAUGAACGAGGAAUUCCCAGUAAGCGCGAGUCAUAAGCUCGCGUUGAUUACGUCCCUGCCCUUUGUACACACCGCCCGUCACUACUACCGAUUGAACGGUUUAGUGAGGGCCUCGGAUUGGUCUCGGCCCGCUCUUUACCGGGCGGCGCCGUUGGUCGAGAAGACGCUCGAACUUGAUCGUUUAGAGGAAGUAAAAGUCGUAACA